UUCGAGGGCAGAGUCAGGGAUCUGCAUUUUAGCAAACCCCCCACCCAGUGAUUCCCAUGCACCCCUUGGGAAACCCCCAGGUUAUCAUUCUGCAAGUUCAAAAGAUAUAGGAUAUUUCAUCUCUUUUAAAUUCACCCCCAGAAAAAUGAUAGCGAUGUUCUAUAUGUUUGCAAGCCCAGAGAGAGCAAUGGGGUGGAGGGACAAGGCGACUGUAUGUCCCUGAGCCAGGCCUCAGGAAACCACCUCACCGGGGACCUGGAAGGAAGUCAUGUGCACUGAGCACCUGCAGUGUGUCGGCCUGCUCCACGCUGCGCAUUUGACAAUUCCCCAUUUCACCCUUACCCUCACCUGCCAGGUAAGCAGGCCCUGCAGGCUGUGAGUGUGAAUUCCAGGGGCACCAUUCAUAGAGAUGGUCAUGUCAGCAUUGAACGGAGGCUCAGAGAGACCAAGUAAUGGCCAAAAUGCACAGCGGCGAGAAGCAGAGUCCAGGUUACCCUUCCCAUCAACCCCCACAGGCUCCUGCGGGUGGGGAAGUGGCUCAGAACAGCUCCAGACUCUGCCCCACAUCCCAGGUGCUGGAAGGUCCCUCGACCACCCGCACCCCCUCUGGGGCUUGGUCCUGCAGACCCCGGGGCAGCAGGCAACCGCUUGAACUUUUAAUGAAUAUUUAUACAGUUAAUUGCAUAACCUUUCAGCAAGGACAAUGAUUAAACAAUCCGUCCGCUUCCUUUCUUUAUAAUUAAUAAGACAUUUGCGUGUCCCUAAAUAGACAGCUCUAAUUAUAGGCUCUGGAGGACUCGGCAGCGCCUGACAGCAGCCCUCCUGCCCUCAGAGUGCCAAGGCGCCAUGCUGGAAUGCCAGGCUCCAGGGGUCGUGGCGGUCACAUGGAGGAGCAGCUGUUAGAGCGACAGGAGAGAGAGGUCCGAGAGGGGAAGGGACCUGCUGAGGGAUGCUGGCUGUUCCAAUGGCCUGUCUCUCCCGGAACCUCCCCGUCUUUGCUGUGAUGUGGCUCUGCCCCAAAGCCAGGACGCGCACCGUGCUCUCCGGGCUCCUGGGCCAGGCCUCUCACUGCAGGCCCUGGGAAGUGCAGGUCUUCUUAUGAGGGGCACUGUCAUUACCUUCAUCUUAUGAACGAGGAGAGCAAAGCCUGGAGAGGAUCACCUUCCUUGAGCCUCCCAACCUCCCACCAAGGAAGAUCUGAUGAGGAAACCGAAGCCCAAGACCCCGGCCCGCAGCCCGAGGGACAGGACUCACGGCAGGUGGCCUGGAACUCAUCGGAGCCGUCAGAACACUCCUCUUCGCCGUCACACUUCCACCGCUCGGGGAUGCAGUGGCCGUUGUCACAGGUGAAGUCGGUGUCCAUACAAGUCUUCUUGGCUGUGGGGCAAGGAGAAGAGCGUGAGGGGCCUGCUGGGCACAGGAGGCUUUUUUUAGGACAGAAUGUGCUCGACCACCUGGCCUUCCAUGGCCCCUAUGUCACAGGGAGUCCCAUCGACCGAGGGGAGAGAACAGGAGAGAGAGGCUUUUACCGAGCACCAGAGGGAGACAGGUGACACCUGUCCUGCCCUCCAAAUUCAGAGCGAAGUCCAACAAGUGUGACAGGAUCCAUCCACCAAGGGCAUGCCUGUUUCCUAUCACACCUCUCUCUUCCCCCAAAGUCUAGUUCCACUGUCACAGCCUCCAGGAAGUCUUCCCUGAUCACCUAGGGCAGAUGCUUUAGCCCCUUCCGCCAGUUCUCAGUCCCUGUACCUGCUCCCCCAACCUGACCAAAGUUAAGGCCUCGUCUGUAAACACCAGAAAACUGGUGAUAAUAAAUCAAAGGCGAAUGAUUGUUUUAUGACAAGA